UCGUGAAACCGUUUAGGGGUAAACCUGAGAAACCCGAAAGGUCGAAGGAAGAAAUUCAUUCGUGCUCGAUAAGGUUAUUGUAUGGUGUUGGUGUCGGAGGAUUUGCUGCAUGCAUUUAUGUAUGUAUGUAAUAUUUUUUGCCCACCCGUAUGAUAUAUGUACCUUGUUGAACGCGUGCACUUUUCUUCUGGUAGGACGUUGCGAUCCAUUGGGUGUUGAUCUACGACUCGGUAGGUAGUCCUGAUCUUCGGAUGUUCAUUCAUUCGUGUUUAGGACCUCCGAUGUCCGAUCAACUGGCUCGAUGGUAUAUUGAAUGGUUGUGGGCCGCUCAUUUAAGGAGCGUUCGGCUUGUGGCAAGCACGUUAAAUGUUUCGGUACAACGGACCUAGUGCCGUGUCUGAUCCUUAACGUCUGUUGGCUACUCUGUCUCGAACUGACCUAUUAUUAUAAAACCGAUCAGCAACGAUAUAGCUUUGGGUAAUUUCAGGACCCGUCUUGAAACACGGACCAAGGAGUCUAGCAUGUACGCAAGUCAUUGGGAAUUACAAAACCUAAAGGCGCAAUGAAAGUAAACGUUUAUCUUUACGGUGAACGAUGGGAAGACGAGUGUAUGUCACUAUGUGUAUACAUUCUGCAUUCCUGGGGCGUCUCAUUCUUCGGUCGAUUUUAUCGUCGAUCACAAGAGGAGGCGCACCAUGAGCGUACACGCUGGGACCCGAAAGAUGGUGAACUAUGCCUGGUCA
rnacentral:rRNA from 1 species